GAGGGUAUAGCUUAGUGGUAGAGCGCAUGCUUAGCAUGCAUGAGGUCCUGGGUUCAAUCCCCAGUUCCUCCA
rnacentral:tRNA from 1 species